CAAGCUCCAGAUAUGCAUGUGUGCAUGAGAGGGAGAGAGAGAGAGAGAGGGAGUCUGUGUGUGAGAAUGUUACUGUUUGGUCUCUUACAGAUGAAAGCAAUUCUGACCCAAAUUUAUGCAACAAUUUAGCUCCAGUAGUUUGAAAAAAAGUAGUUCUGUCUCAUCAACAUGAAAGGUAUAUGGAAAGGCAGAUAUGUAAAAAUUCCUGAAAUAAAUAGCUCUCUGAUGGUAUCCAGUCAAGCCACCAAAGGCGUUAAGCUGCAGCCAUUACCAAGUUAUUCUUCUCCUUUCUAGGGAGUCUUGCAGAUGCAGCUUUGCUCAUGCUCAGUGAGGUUCCAGACGAACUUUGGAGGCACUGCCCUGGAUUUGUUGGGAUUUCUUCAGCUGCAAGUUAAACCCACUCCAAACUAGCUUAAUUUAAAAGAGAACUUACUGACUUACAAAACUGAAAAGCCCAAGAGUUGCAUCUGGCUCCAGGCAAAGCUAGAUUCCAGGUCAGUGUGUCUGUCUGUCCCCACCCCCCACCCACAACCAUCCGCCUCUCUCCCCUGCUCUGCUUCCCUCUUGGGCUUUCACUAAGGUGAAUGUCAAGAACCAGGUGAUGGUUCUCUUCUUUCCAACCUGACUGUGGACCACCGCUGACUCCCCAGUGGUAAGAGCCUCUCUCUGUCUCUUCAUGUGAGGCUCCCCUAAGUUGUUAACUGAUGUUUUCUAAGCUUGAUUUAACUUCAUGUUUACAAAGCUACUUGGGAGACCCAUGCGUUUGCAGGUUAUCAGUCCAGAACUGCUGAGCAACACAACAUCCAUGACAACUGGGCAGGAGAUGUGAAAGGAGACCUCCGCACAUGCUGAGGGUCAUGUCAACACAUCUCCUCCACCACUCAGCUCCCUGCCCGGCAGGGUGCCCCUCAUCCAUUAGAGAGUAUAGACAUUCCCCCUACAGAAGUGGAGAGAAACAUCCAAAACCAAGUGAUUUAAAAACAAAAAGGUCACGGGCGUUCCUAUAGUAGCUCAGCAGUAACAGACCCAAACCACAAUUACUAUUUUGCAGUUAACGACAGUGAAAAAAAUAUAAAAAUUGUGUUUGGGGAGUGGUCAAAAUUUUAUUCAAGGAAAAUCAUAACCAUAAGUGAAUUUUUAUUAACAUAAGGUAAAAUUAAGUGAACUAAGUGUUCAUGUCAAGAAGUUAGAAAUCAAAAAGCAAAAUAAUCCUAGGCAAGCUAAUAGGAAUGAAUGGAGAUUAAAAAUAAAAUAAUAGGUGUUUCCACUGUGGCUCAGCAAUAACGAACCUGACUAGUAUCCAGGAAGAUGUGGGUUCAAACCCUGGCCUCACUCAGUGGGUUAAGGAUCCAGCAUUGCCAUAAGAUGCGGUGUAGGUUGUAGACAUGGCUUGGAUCCUGCUGACAACUGCAGCUCGGAUUAUACCCUUAGCCUGGGACCUUCCAUAUGCCACAGGGUAUGGCCCUAAAAAGAUAGAUAGAUAGAGUAAUUAAUUAAUUAAUUAAUAGGUAUUCCUUUGUGGCACAGAAGGUUAAGAUCCAGCAUUUUCACUCCAGUGGCUUGGGUUGCUGCUGUGGCUUAGGUUCAGUCCCUGGCCUGGGAACUUCCGCAUGCUGCAGGCAUGGCCAAAAUAAAUAAAAGAAAAUAAAUAAAGUAGUAGAAAAAAUAAAAUAGAUAAAUGUGAAUCCUAAACAUGUCAGUCACAAAGCUGAUGGGUUUAGCAGCCUUCCUAUAAACAGCCAUCCCAUUCCUGUCUCUGCUGAAGGAGGGGCUGCUUCUUAAACAAGGGAAGCCUCUGAUAAGAAAUUAGAUGUAAAAUUCAAAUAGGUUGACAGAGAUCGAAAACAAGGUAUCGUAUAAACAGCAUCCACAAAAAAGUUGGAAAGUUAAUACCAAACAAAAUGGACUUUAAAAUAGAAAAUGCUACUGGUGAUAAAGAAGAAUUUGAUAAUGAUAAAAGUAUCAAUCCAUCGGGAAGAUUUAACAGUUAUAAAUGUAUAUGCACCUUAUUACAGAAAAACCAAAGUAUUAAAACUGACAAAAAUUAAGGGCGAAAUAGACAAUUCAAUGAUAAUAGUUGGAGACUUUAAGACUCCAUUUUCAAUAAUGGAAAGAAAAACUAGUCAGGUCAGCAAGGAAAUCGAAGACUUGAACAUAAACUAACUUGACCUAACAGACAUCUAGAGGAUAGCCCACCCAACAACAGCAAAAUAUACAUUUUCUGAAGUGCACAUGGAACAUUCUCCAGAACAGACCAUAUGCUAGGCCAUAAAACAAACCUCAUUAAAUUAAAAAUGAUAGAAUUAAUACCAAGUGUGUUCUCCUCCUACAAUAAAAUGAAGUUAGAAGAAAAAGUUGUUAUUCUGUAGAAAGAAAUUUGGGAAACUCACAAAUACGUGAAAAUUAAACAACACAGUCCUAAAUAACUAAUGGAUCAAAGAAGAAACCAAAAGGAAAAUUAAAAAAUGAAAUGAAUAAAAAUGAAGAUACAAACGCCAAAGAGCAGCUAGAGCCAUGUUUAGAAGACGUUUUAAGCUAUAAAUACCUACCUUAAAAGAAGAAUGAGGAGUUUCUGUUGUGGCUCAGCAGUAACGAAACCAACUGGUAUCCAUGAGGAUGCAGGUUCUAUCCCUGGCCUCACUCAGUGUGUUAAGGAUCUGAUGUUGCCAUGAGUUGCAGUGUAGUUCACAGACACAGCUUGGAUCUGGUAAUGUGUGCCUGUGGCAUAGCUGGCAGCUAUAGCUGCUCUGAUUCGACCCCAGCCUGAGAACUUCCAUAUGCCGCUGUGUGCAGCCCUAAAAAGAUUUUUUUAAAAAAUGAUCUUGGAGUUUUCUGGUGGCACAGUGGGUUAAGGGACCCAGUGUUGUCAUUGAUGUGGCUCAGGUCACUGCUAUGGUGCCAGUUUGAUCCCUAAUACUGGAAUUUCUGCACGAUGUGGGUGUGGCCAAAAAAAAAAGAAGAAUGACCUCAAAUAAGUAACCUGAUUUCCACCUUAAGAAAACAGUAAAAUAAAAACCAGCUAAACCUAAAGAAGGCAGAAUAAAGUUUGGAAUGGAAAUAAAUAAGGAAUAGAAAAACAGAAAAAUCAAGUUCUG
rnacentral:lncRNA from 1 species